UUGACAUUCUUGAAGCAGUGUCAUUUAUAGUGUGAUUUAUCUUUAAGUGUUGUCUUAAAAUUCUUUGCGUGAAAGUGUAUACUAAUUUUCCUAUUUAUAUGUUUUGUGUUUAUAAUUCUAUGCAUUUAUUAUUAUGAAAUCCGUGUGAUUUCAUGGCGGGGAGUGUUAACGCCGUUAUAAAUAAUAUUUAAAUACGACGUUAAUGUACGCGAAAGUUAAUUAUAACGUUUGCGCGAAAUACUUUGACGUUUGACGCUGACGUCAUUUAUUGUUAUUGUCUAUUUAGGAAAAUAAACGUUAAGAUUGAAAUUAUUUUUAAGAGCGCCUUAGCGAGUAUGGAAGGAUAUAUGUUGAGAAUCGUCAUGAAUAAAUGUAAGGACGCAUAUCUCGUUUUCCUGAUAUGAAAGGCGGAACUCUUAACAACAAGAAACAAUGUAUCUUUGGAAUUCGGUUCUGCACUCUGACGUCAUCAGCGCGUUCGGAAGCGCGGUAAAGAGGGCAAUUAGGCAAAACGGUCGAGAUGUUCCAUUGACAGUCCGGUCAAGUUCACCAUACCGCCAAUAUUUUUUCUCACAGAUUCUUAUUGAAUGUGGGAUGAUAACAUCAAGUGGAAGCUCCUCAGAAAUUGAGACAUCAUUGUCACUGUGCAUGCUGAAGUUAUUCUUACGAUCCUGUUCAAGUGGUACAUGUGUAGAAAUCUUUGGUUUCUUUAUGAAAAUCGUUUUUUUUCUCUGCAUGAAAUCUGAAUUUGCAACUCCUGUAGUCCUCAAAUAAGGCUUCUGCCUCUUCAUCUCUUGCAUAUAUAUAAUAAAAGUAAAAACAC